CUUGUGAACUAUUUCGUUGGUUUCUAGGACAUGAGUAAUGAUUAAUAGGGAUAGUUGGGGGCAUUCAUAUUUAAUUGUCAGAGGUGAAAUUCUUAGAUUUAUGAAAGAUGAACAUAUGCGAAAGCAUUUGCCAAGGAUGUUUUCAUUAAUCAAGAACGAAAGUUAGGGGAUCGAAGACGAUCAGAUACCGUCGUAGUCUUAACCAUAAACUAUGCCGACUAGGGAUUGGCGGAUGUUCCAUUUACGACUCCUUCAGCACCUUUAGCGAAAGCAAAGUUUUUGGGUUCCGGGGGGAGUAUGGUCGCAAGGCUGAAACUUAAAGGAAUUGACGGAAGGGCACCACCAGGAGUGGAGCCUGCGGCUUAAUUUGACUCAACACGGGGAAACUCA
rnacentral:rRNA from 1 species